rnacentral:rRNA from 1 species
UACGUAGGUGGCGAGCGUUGUCCGGAUUUAUUGGGCGUAAAGCGCGUGCAGGUGGUUGGUUAAGGCCGAUGUAAAAUCUCCCGGCUCACCUGGGAGGGCGCGUUGGCGACUGGCCGACUGGAGGCAGGUAGAGGCCGGUGGAAUUCCCGGUGUAGUGGUGAAAUGCGUAGAUAUCAGGAGGAACACCUAUUGCGAAGGCAGCUCGCUGGGACGUUACUGACGCUGAGACGCGAAAGCGUGGGGAGCAAACAGG